rnacentral:rRNA from 1 species
AACACGUGAGUAACCUGCCCUUAACUCUGGGAUAAGCCUGGGAAACUGGGUCUAAUACUGGAUAUUGACUUUUCACCGCAUGGUGGGGGGUUGAAAGCUUUUGUGGUUUUGGAUGGACUCGCGGCCUAUCAGCUUGUUGGUGAGGUAAUGGCUCACCAAGGCGACGACGGGUAGCCGGCCUGAGAGGGUGACCGGCCACACUGGGACUGAGACACGGCCCAGACUCCUACGGGAGGCAGCAGUGGGGAAUAUUGCACAAUGGGCGAAAGCCUGAUGCAGCGACGCCGCGUGAGGGAUGACGGCCUUCGGGUUGUAAACCUCUUUCAGUAGGGAACAAGGCUACACGUUGUGUGGUUGAGGGUACCUGCAGAAGAAGCGCCGGCUAACUACGUGCCAGCAGCCGCGGUAAUACGUAGGGCGCAAGCGUUAUCCGGAAUUAUUGGGCGUAAAGAGCUCGUAGGCGGUUUGUCGCGUCUGCCGUGAAAGUCCGGGGCUCAACUCCGGAUCUGCGGUGGGUACGGGCAGACUAGAGUGAUGUAGGGGAGACUGGAAUUCCUGGUGUAGCGGUGAAAUGCGCAUAUAUCAGGAGGAACACCGAUGGCGAAGGCAGGUCUCUGGGCAUUAACUGACGCUGAGGAGCGAAAGCAUGGGGAGCGAACAGGAUUAGAUACCCUGGUAGUCCAUGCCGUAAACGUUGGGUACUAGGUGUGGG